AUGGCCAUACCAUAUUGAAAACACCGGUUCUCAUCCGAUCACCGAAGUUAAGCAAUGUCGGACUCGGUCAGUACUUGGGAGGGUGCCACCUUGGCUUUAGAGUAUUACCUUUUGGGGCU